AUUCAAAAGCUAAACUAGCUCUGUAGAUAGAAAGUUUUUCAUACUAUCUAGCCUAAAUCUCUCUUCCUGAAGAUGAAGCCCAUUGCUUUCUGUUCUACCUUUAGUGGAUUUGGAGAACAAUUGAUCACUAUCCUCUUUAUAACAGCC